UCACUUUCAGAAGCUAUGCAAAGCUCGCUCACUGAAAGCGCUAAUUUUUUGGAAGGCGAAGAGGCGCUGUUCAGGUACUGUCUACGGGAGUUGUUCCCCAAGGAAGUGGGAGGGGAAGGUCCCGGUCUGGCGCAGUUACACGGUGCCAUGCAAAGAUCUCUGAUUCAAAGCGCCGAUCUUUUUGGCGACGAGGAAAAAUUGGUCGCCAAUGAGGUGCUACGGGAUCGGCGGCAACUUUGCGUGGAUCCAGACUUAGAGCUGGGGAUCGAUGGAUCAUUUAAGAAGUUUUAUCCUGACUAGAACCCCCUCAACUAGUAGAUAUUCAUGGUCACAUAGUCCAAAUCAUGGUCGUUUGGUCGCCAUAUUUAAAAAUGUCCCCCACAUGGCUAGAUUUUUUGUUUAAGUAUAUAUCCCCACAGAAAGAAAGUUUUAUUGAUUUUUUGAAGGCAAACAAGUGUUGCAAUUAGAUAAUUACAAUAUUCUUAUGAUC